CUCAGAACGAACGCUGGCGGCAGGCCUAACACAUGCAAGUCGAACGAGGUGCCGGAGCUUGCUCUGGUUACCUAGUGGCGCACGGGUGAGUAACGCGUGGGAACCUGCCCUUGGGUGGGGAACAACCGCUGGAAACGGCGGCUAAUACCGCAUACGCCCUUUGGGGGAAAGACUUCGGUCGCCCAAGGAUGGUCCCGCGUCUGAUUAGCUAGUUGGUGAGGUAACGGCUCACCAAGGCGACGAUCAGUAGCUGGUCUGAGAGGAUGAUCAGCCACACUGGGACUGAGACACGGCCCAGACUCCUACGGGAGGCAGCAGUGGGGAAUAUUGGACAAUGGGGGAAACCCUGAUCCAGCCAUGCCGCGUGAGUGAAGAAGGCCUUAGGGUUGUAAAGCUCUUUCAGUCGUGAAGAUGGUGACUGUAGCGACAGAAGAAGCCCCGGCUAACUCCGUGCCAGCAGCCGCGGUAAUACGGAGGGGGCUAGCGUUGUUCGGAUUUACUGGGCGUAAAGCGCACGUAGGCGGAUCGAUCAGUCAGGGGUGAAAGGCCUGGGCUCAACCCGGGAACUGCCUUUGAUACUGUCGAUCUUGAAUCCGGGAGAGGUAAGCGGAAUUCCAAGUGUAGAGGUGAAAUUCGUAGAUAUUUGGAAGAACACCAGUGGCGAAGGCGGCUUACUGGACCGGUAUUGACGCUGAUGUGCGAAAGCGUGGGGAGCGAACAGGAUUAGAUACCCUGGUAGUCCACGCCGUAAACGAUGAGUGCUAGUUGUCGGGGGUUCGGCCUUCGGUGA
rnacentral:rRNA from 1 species